AACGAACGCUGGCGGCAUGCCUAACACAUGCAAGUCGAACGAGACCUUCGGGGCUAGUGGCGCACGGGUGAGUAACGCGUGGGAACGUGCCCUUAGGUUCGGAAUAACUCCGCGAAAGGGGUGCUAAUACCGGAUAAUGUCUUCGGACCAAAGAUUUAUCGCCUUUGGAUGGGCCCGCGUUGGAUUAGCUAGUUGGUAGGGUAAAAGCCUACCAAGGCGACGAUCCAUAGCUGGUCUGAGAGGAUGAUCAGCCACACUGGGACUGAGACACGGCCCAAACUCCUACGGGAGGCAGCAGUGGGGAAUCUUGCACAAUGGGCGAAAGCCUGAUCCAGCAAUGCCGCGUGAAUGAUGAAGGUCUUAGGGUUGUAAAACUCUUUUACCCGGGAUGAUAAUGACAGUACCGGGAGAAUAAGCCCCGGCUAACUCCGUG
rnacentral:rRNA from 1 species